CAUGUACUUUCAAGAAGA
rnacentral:snRNA from 1 species